UACAGGGGGGGCAAGCGUUGUUCGGAAUUACUGGGCGUAAAGGGUCUGUAGGUGGCCAACUAAGUCAUACGUGAAAUCCCUCAGCUUAACUGGGGAACUGCGCCUGAUACUGGUUGGCUUGAGUGCAGGAGAGGAACGCGGAAUUCCAGGUGUAGCGGUGAAAUGCGUAGAUAUCUGGAGGAACACCGGUGGCGAAGGCGGCGUUCUGGACUGCAACUGACACUGAGAGACGAAAGCCAGGGGAGCAAACGGGAUUAGAUACCCCGGUAGUCCUGGCCCUAAACGAUGAAUGCUUGGUGUGGCGGGUAUCGAUCCCUGCCGUGCCGAAGUUAACGCGAUAAGCAUUCCGCCUGGGGAGUACGGUCGCAAGGCUGAA
rnacentral:rRNA from 1 species